rnacentral:rRNA from 1 species
CCUACGGGAGGCAGCAGUGGGGAAUAUUGCGCAAUGGGGACAACCCUGACGCAGCCAUGCCGCGUGAAUGAAGAAGGCCUUCGGGUUGUAAAGUUCUUUCGGUGACGAGGAAGGCGUGAUGUUUAAUAGGCAUCACGAUUGACGUUAAUCACAGAAGAAGCACCGGCUAACUCCGUGCCAGCAGCCGCGGUAAUACGGAGGGUGCGAGCGUUAAUCGGAAUAACUGGGCGUAAAGGGCACGCAGGCGGCUAUUUAAGUGAGGUGUGAAAUCCCCGGGCUUAACCUGGGAAUUGCAUUUCAGACUGGGUAGCUAGAGUACUUUAGGGAGGGGUAGAAUUCCACGUGUAGCGGUGAAAUGCGUAGAGAUGUGGAGGAAUACCGAAGGCGAAGGCAGCCCCUUGGGAAUGUACUGACGCUCAUGUGCGAAAGCGUGGGGAGCAAACAGGAUUAGAUACCCUGGUAGUCCACGCUGUAAACGCUGUCGAUUUGGGGAUUGGGCUUUAAGCUUGGUGCCCGUAGCUAACGUGAUAAAUCGACCGCCUGGGGAGUACGGCCGCAAGGUUAAAACUCAAAGGAAUUGACGG